rnacentral:rRNA from 1 species
AUGGAUAACAAGCAACUGUCCGUGCCCGUGGCUGAGCCUGCGGCGGCGGGAGUUAGCAAGGAAGAAGACCUCGACCUGGACGACAUAAUACGGGCCGCGUCGGCGGAUUGCAGGGAGGUGAAGUGGGGUCUCGCCGCGUUGAAACCCCAAAUAGCAAGUCUCUCAGCCCUGUCCGAGGAGAUACUGCAAGACAUGGAGGACGAUCGCUUCCAAGAUGCCGCGGAUAAGCAUCCGGAACUGGAGCGACAGACCCUUGCCUACUUUAGCGAUUAUGAGCAGCUCUGGCCUCUCCAGGACCGCAUAGACGCCGCCGUCGCGCUUUGCGAGCCCACCCUCGCUUCCCCAUGA